UUUCCGUAGGUGAACCUGCGGAAGGAUCAUUAAAGAGAAUAUGCCCUUCGGGGUAGAUCUUCCACCCUUUGUUUAUAUUACCUUUGUUGCUUUGGCAGGCCCGUCUUCGGACCACCGGCUUCGGCUGGUCAGUGCUUGCCAGAGGACCCAAAACUCUUAUUAUUAAUGUCGUCUGAGUACUAUAUAAUAGUUAAAACUUUCAACAACGGAUCUCUUGGUUCUG
rnacentral:misc_RNA from 1 species